UGCGCCCAUAUCGAACCUCGUGAUGCUAAGAGUCCUUAAGUCCUCUGAUGUCCUUCGGGACUAGGGGUGAGGCUGAACGCUCGAUCCGAUCGGGUAGUAGGUAAGCGAUGGGGUGACGCAGGAAGGUAGUCCAGCCCAGGCGAUGGUUGUCCUGGGGUAAGCAUGUAGGGCGUGUCGUAGGUAAAUCCGCGGCAUUUAAGCCUGAGAUGUGAUGCCGAGCCGAUUGUGGUGAAGUGGAUGAUCCUAUGCUGCCGAGAAAAGCCUCUAGUGAGUGUUGUGGCGGCCCGUACCCUAAACCGACUCAGGUGGUCAGGUAGAGAAUACCAAGGCGAUCGGGUGAACUGUGGUUAAGGAACUCGGCAAAUUGCCCCCGUAACUUCGGGAGAAGGGGGACCUCUGUUGGUGAUGGGCUUUACGCCUGGAGCUGGUGGGGGUCGCAGUGGCCAGGGGGAAGCGACUGUUUACUAAAAACACAGGUCCGUGCGAAGUCGUAAGACGAUGUAUACGGACUGACGCCUGCCCGGUGCCGGAACGUUAAGGGGACCGCUUAGCUGACGUGAGUUGGCGAAGGUGAGAACUUAAGCGCCGGUAAACGGCGGUGGUAACUAUAACCAUCCUAAGGUAGCGAAAUUCCUUGUCGGGUAAGUUCCGACCUGCACGAAUGGCGUAACGACUUCCCCGCUGUCUCAACCGCAGACCCGGCGAAAUUGCACUACGAGUAAAGAUGCUCGUUUCGCGCAGCAGGACGGAAAGACCCCGGGACCUUCACUACAGCUUGACAUUGGCGUUUGGAACGUCUUGUGUAGGAUAGGUGGGAGACUGGGAAGCUGUCACGCUAGUGAUGGUGGAGUCAUUGGUGAAAUACCACUCUGGUCGUUUUGAACGUCUAACUCUGGUCCGUGAUCCGGAUCGGGGACAGUGUCUGGUGGGUAGUUUAACUGGGGCGGUUGCCUCCUAAAGAGUAACGGAGGCGCCCAAAGGUUCCCUCAGCCUGGUUGGCAAUCAGGUGUUGAGUGUAAGUGCACAAGGGAGCUUGACUGUGAGACUGACAGGUCGAGCAGGAGCGAAAGCUGGGACUAGUGAUCCGGCAUCGGCGUGUGGAAGCGGUGUCGCUCAACGGCUAAAAGGUACCCCGGGGAUAACAGGCUGAUCUUCCCCAAGAGUCCAUAUCGACGGGAUGGUUUGGCACCUCGAUGUCGGCUCGUCGCAUCCUGGGGCUGGAGUAGGUCCCAAGGGUUGGGCUGUUCGCCCAUUAAAGCGGUACGCGAGCUGGGUUUAGAACGUCGCGAGACAGUUCGGUCCCUAUCCGCUGCGCGCGCAGGAGACUUGAAGGGGGCUGUCCCUAGUACGAGAGGACCGGGACGGACGAACCUCUGGUGUGCCAGUUGCACCGCCAGGUGCACAGCUGGUUGGCUACGUUCGGAAGGGAUAACCGCUGAAAGCAUCUAAGCGGGAAGCCCGCCUUGAGAUGAGGUCUCCCACCACGAGAGUUGGUAAGGCUCCCGGUAGACGACCGGGUUGAUAGGCCGGA
rnacentral:rRNA from 1 species